UACGGGGGGGGGCGAGCGUUGUUCGGAAUUAUUGGGCGUAAAGGGUGCGUAGGCGGUUUGGUAAGUCUGAUGUGAAAUCUAUGGGCUCAACUCAUAGUCUGCAUCGGAAACUGCCGGGCUUGAGUAUGGGAGAGGUGAGUGGAAUUCCUGGUGUAGCGGUGAAAUGCGUAGAUAUCAGGAGGAACACCUGUGGCGAAAGCGGCUCACUGGACCAUAACUGACGCUGAUGCACGAAAGCUAGGGGAGCAAACAGG
rnacentral:rRNA from 1 species